rnacentral:rRNA from 1 species
GAUGAACGCUAGCUACAGGCUUAACACAUGCAAGUCGAGGGGAAACGAUAGAGAAAGCUUGCUUUUUCUAGGCGUCGACCGGCGCACGGGUGAGUAACGCGUAUCCAACCUGCCCAUCACUUGGGGAUAACCUUGCGAAAGUAAGACUAAUACCCAAUGACGUCUCUAGAAGACAUCUGAAAGAGAUUAAAGAUUUAUCGGUGAUGGAUGGGGAUGCGUCUGAUUAGCUUGUUGGCGGGGUAACGGCCCACCAAGGCGACGAUCAGUAGGGGUUCUGAGAGGAAGGUCCCCCCACAUUGGAACUGAGACACGGUCCAAACUCCUACGGGAGCAGCAGUGAGGAAUAUUGGUCAAUGGGCGAGAGCCUGAACCAGCCAAGUAGCGUGCAGGAUGACGGCCCUAUGGGUUGUAAACUGCUUUUAUAAGGGAUAAAGUGGGAGUCGUGUGGAUUUUUGAUGUACCAUAUGAAUAAGGAUCGGCUAACUCCGUGCCAGCAGCCGACGG